GGACAAGGCAAAGCUGGCGUUUGAGGUGUUUGAGCUCAUUUUCAGGCUGCAAUUGUUCACUUCAUUGAAAUCCAGGGUCAAGGAUGUCACCUUUUGGUGUUGUCUCCCUUCUGAUUUUAGGAUCCUUGGUGGACACCAAAACCCCAUCCGAAAAAGG